rnacentral:rRNA from 1 species
UUAAGUUAUGAAGGGCGCAUGGUGAAUGCCUUGGUACUAGGAGCCGAUGAAGGACGGGACUAACACCGAUAUGCUUCGGGGAGCGGUAAGUACGCUUUGAUCCGGAGAUUUCCGAAUGGGGAAACCCAAUCAUCUUAGUCGAUGAUUACUUGAGCAGUGAAUUCAUAGCUGCCAAGAGGUAGACGCAGUGAACUGAAACAUCUUAGUAGCUGCAGGAAGAGAAAGAAAAUUCGAUUCCCUGAGUAGCGGCGAGCGAAACGGGAAGAGCCCAAACCACUGAGCUUGCUCAGUGGGGUUGUAGGACUGAACUUUGGAGUUACCAAAGAAUCAGGUAGUCGAAGUGGCUGGGAAGCCACACCAGAGAUGGUGAUAGUCCAGUAGACGAAACCUGGUUCUCUCCGUUCAGGAUCCUGAGUACGGCGGGACACGUGAAACCCCGUCGGAAUCCGCGAGGACCAUCUCGCAAGGCUAAAUACUCCCUAGUGACCGAUAGUGAACCAGUACCGUGAGGGAAAGGUGAAAAGCACCCCGGGAGGGGAGUGAAAUAGUUCCUGAAACCAUGUGCCUACAAGCUGUCGGAGCCCGUUAAUGGGUGACGGCGUGCCUCUUGCAGAAUGAACCGGCGAGUCAUGAUUACGUGCAAGGUUAAGGUGGAAAAACCGGAGCCGCAGCGAAAGCGAGUCUGAAAUGGGCGUAUGAAGUACGUAGUUAUGUACCCGAAACCAGGUGACCUACCCAUGUCCAGGGUGAAGGUGCGGUAAAACGCACUGGAGGCCCGAACCCGUGUCUGUUGAAAAAGGCUGGGAUGAGGUGUGGGUAGCGGUGAAAUUCCAAACGAACUUGGAGAUAGCUGGUUCUCUCCGAAAUCUCUUUAGGGGGAGCCUCGGAAUCGAGAAUCUUGGAGGUAGAGCACUGUUUGGACGAGGGGCCCGUCAUGGGUUACCGACUUCAGAUAAACUCCGAAUGCCAAUGAUUUAUGUCCGGGAGUCAGACGAUGAGUGAUAAGAUCCACCGUCGAAAGGGGAACAGCCCAGAUCACCAGUUAAGGUCCCUAAAUAUAUGCUAAGUGGAAAAGGAUGUGGAGUUGCAUAGACAACUAGGAUGUUGGCUCAGAAGCAGCCAUCAUUUAAAGAGUGCGUAAUAGCUCACUAGUCGAGUGAUUCUGCGCCGAAAAUGUACCGGGGCUAAGCAUAUUACCGAAACUGUGGAUGUGUCCUUUUGGACACGUGAUAGGAGAGCGUUCUAAGGGCGACGAAGUUAGACCGUGAGGACUAGUGGAGCGCUUAGAAGUGAGAAUGCCGGUAUGAGUAGCGAAAGACAGGUGAGAAUCCUGUCCACCGAAUGACUAAGGUUUCCUGGGGAAGGCUCGUCCUCCCAGGGUAAGUCGGGACCUAAGGCGAGGCCGAGAGGCGUAGUCGAUGGAUAACAGGUUGAGAUUCCUGUACCAGUUAAAUGCGUUUGAAUGAUGGAGGGACGCAGGAGGCUAAGCAAACCAGACGAUUGGAAGUGUCUGGCCAAGCAGUAAGUCAGGUUUAGAGUCAAAUGCUUUAAGCCGGGUUGACAAGCUGUGAUGGGGAGCGAAAUUAAAGUAGCGAAGUUGCCGAUGUCACACUGCCGAGAAAAGCUUCUAGUGAGUAUUUAACUGCCCGUACCGCAAACCGACACAGGUAGUCGAGGAGAGAAUCCUAAGGUGAGCGAGUGAACUCUCGUUAAGGAACUCGGCAAAAUGACCCCGUAACUUCGGGAGAAGGGGUGCUGGUCGCAAGACCAGCCGCAGUGAAAAGGCCCAGGCGACUGUUUAUCAAAAACACAGGUUUCUGCAAAAUCGUAAGAUGAAGUAUAGGGGCUGACGCCUGCCCGGUGCUGGAAGGUUAAAAGGAAGAGUUAGCUUCGGCGAAGCCCUGAAUUGAAGCCCCAGUAAACGGCGGCCGUAACUAUAACGGUCCUAAGGUAGCGAAAUUCCUUGUCGGGUAAGUUC